AGUGAACGCUGGCGGUAUGCCUAACACAUGCAAGUCGAACGGCAGCACAGUAAGAGCUUGCUCUUACGGGUGGCGAGUGGCGGACGGGUGAGGAAUACAUCGGAAUCUACUUUUUCGUGGGGGAUAACGUAGGGAAACUUACGCUAAUACCGCAUACGACCUACGGGUGAAAGCAGGGGAUCUUCGGACCUUGCGCGAUUGAAUGAGCCGAUGUCGGAUUAGCUAGUUGGCGGGGUAAAGGCCCACCAAGGCGACGAUCCGUAGCUGGUCUGAGUGGAUGAUCACCCACACUGGAACUGAGACACGGUCCAGACUCCUGCGGGAGGGAGCAGUGGGGAAUAUUGGACAAUGGGCGCAAGCAUGAUCCAGCCAUACCGCGUGGGUGAAGAAGGCCUUCGGGUUGUAAAGCCCUUUUGUUGGGAAAGAAAAGCAGCAGGUUAAUACCACGCUGUUCUGACGGUACCCAAAGAAUAAGCACCGGCUAACUUCGUG
rnacentral:rRNA from 1 species